ACUCCUACGGGAGGCAGCAGUGGGGAAUAUUGCACAAUGGGCGCAAGCCUGAUGCAGCCAUGUCGCGUGUGUGAAGAAGGCCUUCGGGUUGUAAAGCACUUUCAGUCGUGAGGAAGGUAGUGUAGUUAAUAGCUGCAUUAUUUGACGUUAGCGACAGAAGAAGCACCGGCUAACUCCGUGCCAGCAGCCGCGGUAAUACGGAGGGUGCGAGCGUUAAUCGGAAUUACUGGGCGUAAAAGCGCAUGCAGGUGGUUUGUUAAGUCAGAUGUGAAAGCCCGGGGCUCAACCUCGGAAUAGCAUUUGAAACUGGCAGACUAGAGUACUGUAGAGGGGGGUAGAAUUUCAGGUGUAGCGGUGAAAUGCGUAGAGAUCUGAAGGAAUACCGGUGGCGAAGGCGGCCCCCUGGACAGAUACUGACACUCAGAUGCGAAAGCGUGGGGAGCAAACAGGAUUAGAUACCCUGGUAGGAUAGC
rnacentral:rRNA from 1 species